rnacentral:piRNA from 1 species
UGGCUCAGACAAGAACCUCAACUGUAGC